rnacentral:rRNA from 1 species
CGCGUAGGCGGCCCGGCAGGCCGGGGGUCGAAGCGGGGGGCUCAACCCCCCGAAGCCCCCGGAACCUCCGCGGCUUGGGUCCGGUAGGGGAGGGUGGAACACCCGGUGUAGCGGUGGAAUGCGCAGAUAUCGGGUGGAACACCGGUGGCGAAGGCGGCCCUCUGGGCCGAGACCGACGCUGAGGCUCGAAAGCUGGGGGAGCGAACA